AUUUUUUAAAAAACGAAUAAAGCAGUACCCUUCCUACAAGUACAGAAAAGCAUAGUAUUUCUAUUUACUCUUAGAAUUGUAGACAUAGGAUGAGGUGAGUGUUUCCCUUAGGGUGGCAUUUGUCAAGGUAGACCUGUACUUACACUCCUGUUUUCUCUUUUCUUUUAUAGAGGCCGUCUGGUUCCUGUGUGUGUCUGAGAUAGCAUGGAUGAGUGUUUGGGGCCUACUUAUGACUAAGCCCCCAGACACAUCUCAGCCAAGUAUUAGUUUCAAGGAGAACACUCAAAAGGGAGUAAAGCUGAGACACUGAAUUGUUGUGAGAACUGAAUUGGAGGAAUCAAGUCACAGAUGAGCUUUUACCUCAAGAAUUUUCGUCAUUGCUGCCCUUGGAACUGCAAACCACCCGGGAACACACCAUAUAAAGAAGCAUGUUUAUAAAGAAUGAAUUUGCCACUAGAACUUGAACAUAAAAAAUGAAUGUGCAGUCCUAAGCAAUUUUAAUCUCAUAACCAAGGGAAUAAAAUCACCUAAUAUCUUUAUCUAAAAUCUAAC
rnacentral:lncRNA from 1 species